rnacentral:lncRNA from 10 species
AAAAUUUUUUUUUAGUUCUAUAAGACCUUUUCUCUUUCUUUUUUGAGACAUGGUCUCACACUGUCUCCCAGGCUGGAGUUCAGUGAUGCGAUCACAGCUCAUUGCAGCUGUUGACCUCCCCGGCUCAAGCAGUCAUCCCACCUUAGCCUCCUCAGUAACGUGGGACUAUGCACCACCAUAGCCAGCUAAUUUUUUUAAAAUUUUCAUAGAGAUAGGGUUUCACUGUGUUGCCCAGGCUGGUCUCAAACUCAUGGGCCCAAACAGUCUUCCUGCCUUGGCCUCCCAAAGUGCUAGGAUUACCAGUGUGUCACUGCAC